rnacentral:rRNA from 1 species
UACGGAAGGCAGCAGUGGGGAAUAUUGCACAAUGGGCGCAAGCCUGAUGCAGCCAUGCCGCGUGUAUGAAGAAGGCCUUCGGGUUGUAAAGUACUUUCAGUCGUGAGGAAGGUGUUAAGGUUAAUAACCUUAGCAAUUGACGUUAGCGACAGAAGAAGCACCGGCUAACUCCGUGCCAGCAGCCGCGGUAAUACGGGAGGGUGCGAGCGUUAAUCGGAAUUACUGGGCGUAAAGGGCACGCAGGCGGUUAAUUAAGUUGGAUGUGAAAUCCCCGGGCUUAACCUGGGAAUGGCAUUCAAGACUGGUUAGCUAGAGUCUUGUAGAGGGGGUAGAAUUCCAUGUGUAGCGGUGAAAUGCGUAGAGAUGUGGAGGAAAUACCGGUGGCGAAGGCGGGCCCCUGGACAAAGACUGACGCUCAUGUGCGAAAGCGUGGGGAGCAAACGAGGGAUUAGAUACC